CCAGACUCCUACGGGAGGCAGCAGUGAGGAAUAUUGGUCAAUGGUCGGGAGACUGAACCAGCCAAGCCGCGUGAGGGAUGAAGGUACAGAGUAUCGUAAACCUCUUUUGUCGGGGAGCAAAAGCCGGACGUGUCCGGCUGUGAGAGUACCCGAAGAAAAAGCAUCGGCUAACUCCGUGCCAGCAGCCGCGGUAAUACGGAGGAUGCGAGCGUUAUCCGGAUUUAUUGGGUUUAAAGGGUGCGUAGGCGGAAUGCCAAGUCAGCGGUAAAAGCGCGGGGCUCAACCUCGCUCCGCCGUUGAAACUGGCGUUCUUGAGUGGGCGAGAAGUAUGCGGAAUGCGUGGUGUAGCGGUGAAAUGCAUAGAUAUCACGCAGAACUCCGAUUGCGAAGGCAGCAUACCGGCGCCCGACUGACGCUGAGGCACGAAAGCGUGGGGAUCGAACAGGAUUAGAUACCCUGGUAAA
rnacentral:rRNA from 1 species